GACUGUGCAACAUUCUUGUACAUGUCUCAUUGGGGAGUUGGCACAUGGCAGAAGCCAUGUGGCGAGAGGAGUGUCAUUUUAAUUUGCAGAUGUCGCGAGAUGCCAUGACGAGAAGGAGUGACUGAGGGGAUCAUCCACAAGAUGGAAGCUGAGGCCAGGAGAGAGUCUUCAGGAGUAUCGGAGAUCACCUUCGGCACAGAGAGCUGUGCUACUGGGCUUCCAGGAGAUCGUCAUGAGGAGACUCUGCACUGCAAAAUCUUAAAUGAGAUAAAAGAGUUUCGACGUUGACGUUGAGGAAGACAACUAAGGUGUACGAUGUGCUGUGCCUUUAAAAUCUUCAGCAGCGUCGGAACAUGAGAACCUGAGGGAGCGUGCCAAGCUCCAAAAAGUGACAGCGCAGAGGAGGUCCAGCGAUGGACUUGUGGUUCUGUGAACAGCACAAAUGCCAGGUCAUGUAUGAUAUGUUGCAAGCACAAUUCUCGGGGUAAUUUGAGACCUAAGAGAGGGAAAUUCCCCAGACCCGGUCACCCAUUUUAAGUUAUUCACAUGGACUUUAUAGAGCUGUCCAACUGUAAUAACUAUAAGUACCGUUUAGUGAUAGUGUGUCCUUUUUCAAAGUGGGUAGAAAUCGUCCCAACUAGGGAAGCAGAUGCCAUUUCGGUUGCCAAAGCAAUAUGUAAGAAUAUCAUUUGGAACAUGGGAUUCCCGAGACCAUUUAUAGUGAUAAUGGUCCACAUUUUGUAAACGAAGUGAUUAGAUUAAUGGCACAACAUCUAGGGAUAACACUAAAAACAUCAUUGUUUAUAUCACCCACAAAGUGCAGGGUUGAUAGAGAGAACUAAUGGAAUAGUAAAGUUAAGACUUAGGAAGAGACACGCAGGACAUGGUUAAACUGUAUAGAAUUAGUUAGGAGGUAUACGAAUGUACAUGAGGAUUACUCCAACAGAGAAUGGUCUGACUCGUUGAGAUUAUAUAUGUUAGAGUAUUUAGAGUUCUAGUCUUCUGUAGUGAUGAUAGGAGAGCAGAAGAGAGAGCAUAUUAGCAGAUUAGAUGCUUAAAAUGUGUAAAAAUAAAGAAGGCUUGAGAACAAAUGAUCUGCCAGAUGAUUCUGUUUCUCCACAGGAGCAGAGUCUGAAGUCUGGAGAUUGGAUGUUGAUAAGGCCAUGGAGAGGAAGUCCUGGUCCAGUCCACAGUGGGAAGGUCCUUAUCAGGUGCUGCUGACGACGACCACAGCAGUGAAGAUUGCUGAAAGAAACACUUGGAUACAUCAAGCGCACUGCAAGAAGGUAACACACUUCUUGGCCGACUCUGGGUGAUGGUGAAAAGUCCAGGGUACAAAGGGGGUAGUAUAUCUCUAGGACCUCUCGUCUCAAUCCUGGUGAAGAAACCAACGGAUCCUGAACCCAACUUAGAGUGGCUGGGAAUGUGCUGUUCGCCUUCUUGUGCCUGUGGACCCAGAGUGGGAUGACAGGAGCGCACUGGGACAGAGCAAAUCACACCCAGUACCCGCAUGGGGUUUUCAACAACUACCUGUGGCAGUUUGUGAACACAACCGCUCACAUAAAGAACGAGACCAAUGGUUAUGCUUGUGAUGCCACUGUCUACACAUUCUUCUGGACUGUGGCCAUAUAGCAUCACUGAGAGCGAGACAGUUUGUUUGGUUGCCUUAGCAACACAUCCAGGAGUAAACGUACUUGGAACACUGCCAACUUUUCAACUUCUGAACCUGAAUGGACGGUUGAUUCACCAGUAGCUGGGACAGUGAACUGCUCUGGUACGACAGACCUGCUAGUCCGACUCCAAGUAUCUGACUUGCUGCAGGACAUUGAACAGCUAAAUAAACUGGAAACAGGCCAGUUGCCUAUGUGUAUGAAGGGCAAUGGAUUAGUCCAAGUUGGAGAUUUAUCAUGGAAUUUAUACAACAUCACGUAUUCUCUUUGUCCUCUGCAAGAAGGAUGCAAACAGAGAAGCCUUUUGUCUACAUUUACAUCAUGAACACUUCUCUAAGCUGGUUGAGGUUGUGAGCCAAGAAGAUCAAAACACCUUGAUCCAAUUUCCUUUACAAAGCUUUUCCUGUGGUGACAACAGGACAGGAGAAGAGUUGUAAAUGCGGAUAAUUUACCAGUUGACUCUAACCCCCACAGGAUGCCUAUAGUGAAAAGAUCUGGGGGGGGGGUUGAUAGGAGUCAUAAAGAAGGGUGUUGACCAGGCUACAGCUUUGAAGUUAGCUGAGAGCCACAUGGACAAACGAUAAAGUCAACUGAUGUGUUUGAAUGUCUAUGUCUGUAUACAGUUGGAUUGUAGUGACAUAUGAUUUUUGAGAAUGUUGAUUCUUCUUGUUUGACUGUUACAUUCAGUUGUUUACUUGCAGGGAUACAUAAUGAAUCGCACAACAGGAGUAGAUGCACCACAAGGCUGGAUAACUUGGUGAAUGUCUGGUCCUUGGUGGCAUCUUCUUUUGAAAAUAUUAAUUCCUGUUUUUGGACUGUUGACACUGAUUUGCUUACGUAUAGGAUGUAGUUUACUGUGUAUGAGAUCAAUGAGAA